rnacentral:rRNA from 1 species
UACGGGGGGGGCAAGCGUUGUUCGGAAUUACUGGGCGUAAAGGGCUCGUAGGUGGCCAACUAAGUCAGACGUGAAAUCCCCAGGCUCAACUUGGGAACUGCGUCUGAUACUGGAUGGCUUGAAUUCGGGAGAGGGAUGCAGAAUUCCAGGUGUGAGCGGUGAAAUGACGUAGAUAUCUGGAGGAAUACCGGUGGCGAAGGCGGCAUCCUGGACCGACAUUGACGCUGAUGAGCGAAAAGCUAGGGGAGCAAACGGGG